GUGUUUGGCUCUAGCAUUGGUUUGCAGGACAUCCAUUUGUUCUCUUGUAUAGGAUGCCUCGUCGUCAUGUUCCUUUCCUUCCUGAUCACCAGGAAUUGGUAGUGGUCCGUUCUGUAUGAUUAGCCAUGAUUGAAGGUCAACUGAUUGCACAUACACACUCAUUCUAGCCUUCCAAUGACGAUAAUGUUUCCCAUCGAAGUAUUGUGGCCUUGAAUCUUCUUCUUCUGGUUGAAGAUAUCCUUCUGCAA
rnacentral:misc_RNA from 1 species